AUUGAACGCUGGCGGCAGGCUUAACACAUGCAAGUCGAGCGGAGUGAUGGUGCUUGCACUAUUACUUAGCGGCGGACGGGUGAGUAAUGCUUAGGAAUCUGCCAUUUAGUGGGGGACAACAUUCCGAAAGGAAUGCUAAUACCGCAUACGUCCUACGGGAGAAAGCAGGGGAUCUUCGGACCUUGCGCUAAAUGAUGAGCCUAAGUCGGAUUAGCUAGUUGGUGGGGUAAAGGCCUACCAAGGCGACGAUCUGUAGCGGGUCUGAGAGGAUGAUGCGACAGACUGGGACUGAGACACGGCCCAGACUCCUACGGGAGGCAGCAGUGGGGAAUAUUGGACAGUGGGCGGAAGCCUGAUCCAGCCAUGCCGCGUGUGUGAAGAAGGCCUUUUGGUUGUAAAGCACUUUAAGCGAGGAGGAGGCUCUCCUAGUUAAUACCUAGGAAGAGUGGACGUUACUCGCAGAAUAAGCACCGGCUAACUCUGUGCCAGCAGCCGCCGUAAUAC
rnacentral:rRNA from 1 species